AUGGGCCUGAGGUAUUGGGCCUUUUUGGAAGAGGCUGAUCCUUUUGGGAAACCCUUUUGAUGCUGACUUCAGCAGGAUAUAGACCAAGCUUUUAAGAAUCUGAUCUGACAGCAGAUGUGGCUGCUCUCUGCGGUCCCUGUCACAGCCUUCCUACUUUGGAUGGUGCUUCGCUCAGGGACUGAGGUUUUGGGGAGAGUCCUUUUCAGACAGCAUCUCAGCCCAGACUGAGCUGGCCAAAGCAGAUUGCUAUCAUCCUAACUAGCUCAACGCUGCCCUAAUGAAUUUCUGGCUUGAGGAUGAACUUUCCUCUCAAAACAUGCGUGUCUGCAAACACAACUGCGAAUGUAGCAGGUGGAGAGGCUGCAGUCCAGCAUGUUCCUUCAGAUACAGAUCUGCCUUGAAACAGCAACGUGGGCCUGAUUCCCCUUGCCAGGUCUUUCAGUGGCUUUACUUGUGUGCGAGGCAUGGGGCUGUGCCUCAACACAGCAAGAAGAGGGAGGAGCAGGAGCUGGCAUCGGCAGGGAGCAGGAUGGGGAAAGAGGGAGCCUGGUGGGAAACCAAGCUCCUCAUCCCUGUGCCAUUUCUGAUGGGGAUGGUGUUUGCCGGGCUGUUGAGGGACACCACGUCCCUUGCUGGGUGCGUAUAAUGUGAGUUGUGGGAACUACUGAUCAGUACAAGAUUGGAGGACUUCUCCUUGGCUUGAGUAAUCACUUCCACAAAUGUUCUGCUGACCUCAGAAGCUGGUGAAAACUGCCCUCAUCUAAACCAGAUCUGCGCAGAAACAGGAUCAGGUCUUGCAAAAUAUUUAGUUAUUGCACCCGAUAUGUCCGGGUAAUUCAGCAGACAAUAGCUGCUUUCUCCUCUGACAAGAGCUUUGCUGAUUGCCCAACUGGGCAGGGAGAAGAAAUGUGGAGCAGGGUUCCUGCAACAGCAGCUCCUGGAGCAGUGAGGACAGUGGCGCCAGGGAGGUGUGCAGGGGAGAAGGGCCGGGCAUCUGUAAUGUGAAGUGAAAACCCAAAUCAAAUCAGGGAGUCAAAGCAUUGCUGGCAGUUCCUGUUUGCUUUUCUAUCCGAUUUGCUUUAGCAGCCAAGCAGGCCCUGCAUUUCUCUGGGAGCCCAGGUGCCCUGCAUGGUAUGGAGCCUGGGAUGGCAGCUGUCUCUGGACUGAAGGUGCUGGGGGCUCCCUUUGGGUCCCUGCUUCAAUCCUUCAGCUUGCCCUGAAGCUUCUCCCUUCCUCAUUUCUUAUGCAAGAAAGGUUUUUAUCCCCCACUUGGACCUGUGGCAAAGUGCAUCAAGGGCGGGCAGUGUCUGUCUCCCUGGCAGACUGGUUCUCAAACUUUCCUCUUGUUCACCUCGCUGGCUUGGGACUCUGCUUCUUGCUGCGAGGCUGCCCUUCCACUCCAGUUGCAGCUUCACCCCUCCACCUGUGGUGAGGGGUCCUGGUGCUGCCUUUGGCCCAGGACCUUCCUUGCAGAGAGCAGGACCUUACAGCCUUGACAAAUCCUCCUGCACGGGGCUGGAGCUGACGGCUGCUGACUCACGAGAGGAGCUGCGUGCACACUCGAGCGAGGCGCUGAGCCAAGGACAGAGAGGGACAGGGCUUGGCACCUGACCGAACAUCGCCGUCUCCUUGUGUGGGUGUGCAGAGCCGUUCCUGCGGGGAUGUUGAACCAGUCCUGUUUGCAGUGUUUGGCUGCUGGUGAGCCUCUGCCUCGGGGCAGGAGACUGGCGCGGCACGCAGGCGGGCACGGCACAGGGGAGCAGCAGGAUCGUGGGUAUCGCCGUGAGUUACCAGGAUCUGCAGGGCUCCUGCAGGAGGAGGACAGGGCUCGGACCCCACGGCCUCUUGCCCUUAUGCCUUCCUGGAUGCAGCACACCUACCCCUGAGGCAGGCUGGUUCAAGGAUAUUCGUUCAGUGUUGCCUCUUCCACUGCCCUUUGGUCUCGCUCUUACGCGUGUGUUUGUCCGAUGAGCUGGAGAAGCAGGUUGCACCUCUCCUUUCAAGGUGUUUAGGUCACCUGGUGAUUCUCUCGUCCUCCUAGCCCCAGCUGGUGUUUCCAACUCCAGCCUGCUGGCAGCUGCUUCAGUUUCAAAACAGGAGAAAAAAACAAACAAACAAACAAAAAAAAAACACACACAAAAACUGUGUUUUUCCUUUUUAAAUAGGUCUUACGCUAUAUUUUUAAAAUGAAUAAAAGCCUCCAAAAGAGGAAGUGACAAGGAAGAAGGGGAAACUAGUGACUAUCAAGGUGCUUGGCUCAGUGGAAUCACUCAGGCUGCCUUUCUGAAGUUAACUUCCUGCACUGCCAAAAACACUUACAAUAAAUGUAUUUCAGAAAAAAAAUGAGAGUGAUCUCGUCAGUUUCUCUCUGAAAAAAACAGAAAGUGCUUUUUGACAGUGGAUCACCGCAUGCUAUUACGUGAGGUGGGAGUCUCCAGUGAGCCAUUUUCCUGCAAACUGAUUUGAGGAAGAAUUACUCAGCAGAAGUUCCCUUCAGAUACAUUGAGACAUUUGCAGAUUUCACCUGCUUCCUAAAAGCAAAGCAAGCCUGCGCUGUGAUUUUAAAAAGUUCAAGUAUAUUGAUAAGGGCCUCCCUAGAGAUGAGUGACUCUGGUUCUUGGGGGCUCCCGCUGGAGGGUUACUUGCUUUGCCCAGACCUGGCUCUGGCUGACCGAGGCUGAACUGCCGUGGCUGGGAUCCCACACAGGGGUUGUGCUUACUGUGCAGAAGGUAGCAAUAGCUCUGCUGUCUGAUGGACACAAAGAAUCUCAUGGUGCUUCGGUGCUGCUCAGGAGCAAAUGAAGCAAAGAGCAGUCCUCUGAUGUAGAAGUCCCAUGGCGUGUGGGCGGACUGCAGUCAAUGUAGCCUCCACCCCACUUUGGCAGGAGCUGGACUCUCCAGGAACAAGACCGUGGGAUUGCAGGCCAUGAGCCAUCACCCAUCCUUUCUUCUGUGCUUCAAGAAGUGAACCUGGGCAGGGCUUCGCUUUUGUUUUUAGGAUGAAGGCUGGUUUGGGGUUUGAGUCCUUUAAAGCUAUUUUUUGUGGGUUGCUCCCUCACCUGGAGCACCAGGGAGAAGACCAUAUCAGGACCAAGAUGCUGCUGGAUAUUUACUUCAAGGUCCUGCCACGUGCCUACACACAAGACACACAGUACCAGCAGUGCUACCAUUUUUGUGCAUACUCUUCCUGCUCACAGUCAGUGUGAGCACUUGUUGCAAGUGGCUAUCAGAGUGCGGUGGAGCAGAAGGGAGGAAUUCAGAUUCUCUCUGGUUUCCAGUAGCAUAUGGCAUAACAGUGCUACCCGUGAGGUGUUCGUGUCUUGAGGUUUCUCAGUAUUAGCCUGAAGAGCUGGUGGGAGCGGAGUGUUCCCGAGAAGUGAUCAGUGGAACAGCAAUUUCCUGCAGAUGCUGCUCCGUGUGAGGUGCUGGGAAUGAGUCCUCCUCUGAUUCACCACCUGCUGUCCCCAGGGCCAGACCGUUCCCAGCCCGAGGGCUCUGUGCUCCCUCACAGUGCAGAGGGGUCA